rnacentral:rRNA from 1 species
CGGACGGGUGAGUAAUGUCUGGGAAACUGCCUGAUGGAGGGGGAUAACUGUUGGAAACGGUAGCUAAUACCGCAUAACGUCGCAAGACCAAAGAGGGGGACCUUCGGGCCUCUUGCCAUCGGAUGUGCCCAGAUGGGAUUAGCUAGUAGGUGGGGUAACGGCUCACCUAGGCGACGAUCCCUAGCUGGUCUGAGAGGAUGGCCAGCCACACUGGAACUGAGACACGGUCCAG